UGCAGAGAUCCACAACCAAGCACAAAGCCCUGAAGGAUGCCAACUGAAAGGAGUGCUCACUGCUUGUCCCUGAUACCACCUGGAAAACAAGGUGCAUCAAGAAGCAGCAUGUUCAACUCCCACAAGACUAUCCUGCAAAUUUUCCCAGACUUCCUUCCAACAAAGAAACUUGGUUCCUAGCAACAUGGCUAAAUGCACCAAGAAGGUCGGGAUUGUUGGGAAAUAUGGGACUCACGAUGUUGCCUCCCUGUGGAAAAUUGUGAAGAAAAUAGAUAUCAGCCAGCUUGCCAAGUACACAUGCUCCUUCUGUGGCAAGAUCAAGAUGAAGAGAUGAGCCAUUGGCAUCUGGCACUGUGGUUCCUGCACAAAAACAGUGGCUGGCAGAGCCUGAACCUACAACACUACUUCUGCCACCAUAGUGAAGUUUGUCAUUAGUACUGAAGUAACUGAAAGACCAGUAGAAGUGCUAGCAUUUGAGACAGCCUCUGAAUAAAUGGGUUAAUUUACACAACAAAAAAGAAAUUUGCAUUACAUUAUUAAAUGAGCUAU